AUAUCUAAAUUAAAUAAAUUAAAGAUUUGGCUACAGUUGAACGGCGAAGUAAUAGCUGUAGUAAAAUACCACUGUAUGCUGGAAACUCUUCGCUGCUUCGCCAGGUGAAGACAAUCAGCAGGAAACCUUUAAAGUAGAAAUUACUAAGUAUUCGUGUUUUUGGACCCAAGGCGGGUUCACUCGUACUUUAUAGGGAUCCUCAGAGACUAUACGUGGUAAAUCUUCUUUUUUUAAGAAAAUUAAGAUAUAGUCCGAUCCAUUAAAGUGAUUUAAUG
rnacentral:ncRNA from 1 species